rnacentral:rRNA from 1 species
ACGGAAGGCAGCAGUGGGGAAUAUUGCACAAUGGGGGAAACCCUGAUGCAGCGACGCCGCGUGAGUGAAGAAGUUAUUCGUAAUGUAAAGCUCUAUCAGCAGGGAAGAAAAUGACGGUACCUGACUAAGAAGCCCCGGCUAACUACGUGCCAGCAGCCGCGGUAAUACGUAGGGGGCAAGCGUUAUCCGGAUUUACUGGGUGUAAAGGGAGCGUAGACGGUCUGGCAAGUCUGAUGUGAAAGGCAGGGGCUCAACUCCUGGACUGCAUUGGAAACUGUCAGUCUUGAGUGUCGGAGAGGUAAGCGGAAUUCCUAGUGUAGCGGUGAAAUGUGUAGAUAUUAGGAGGAACACCAGUGGCGAAGGCGGCUUACUGGACGAUAACUGACGUUGAGGCUCGAAAGCGUGGGGAGCAAACAGGAUUAGAUACCCUGGUA